rnacentral:rRNA from 1 species
AUUGAACGCUGGCGGCAUGCUUUACACAUGCAAGUCGAACGGCAGCACGGACUUCGGUCUGGUGGCGAGUGGCGAACGGGUGAGUAAUACAUCGGAACGUACCUGAUAGUGGGGGAUAACGCUUCGAAAGGAGUGCUAAUACCGCAUACGUCCCGAGGGGGAAAGUGGGGGACCAGCAAUGGCCUCACGCUAACAGAGCGGCUGAUGGCUGAUUAGGUAGUUGGUGAGGUAAAGGCUGACCAAGGCGACGAUCAGUAGCGGGUCUUAGAGGACGAUCCGCCACGCUGGAACGUAGACACGGCGCAGCCUCCUACGGGAGGCAGCAGUGGGGAAUCUUGGACAAUGGGCGCAAGCCUGAUCCAGCAAUGCCGCGUGGGUGAAGAAGGCCUUCGGGUUGUAAAGCCCUUUUGUUUGGAAGCAAAGCUUACCUAAUAACACUAGGUGAGGAUGAGAGUGCCAAAAGAAUCAGCACCGGCUAACUACGUGCCAGCCGCCGCCGUAA